UAUAAAUAAGUGUUUGCACAAAAGAUUUUGAUUCUUUUAGAUUUAGUUUAAUUCUAAAAUUUAUAA
rnacentral:tRNA from 2 species